AAACUGAAGAGUUUGAUCCUGGCUCAGAUUGAACGCUGGCGGUAUGCUUAACACAUGCAAGUCGAACGGCAGCACGGAGAGUUUACUCUUUGGUGGCGAGUGGCGGACGGGUGAGUAAUGCAUAGGAAUCUACCUUUUAGUCUAGGAUAACUACCCGAAAGGGUAGCUAAUACUGGAUGUGGACUACGGUUUAAAGCAGGGGAUCUUCGGACCUUGCGCUAAGAGAUGAGCCUAUGUGGGAUUAGCUAGUUGGUGAGGUA
rnacentral:rRNA from 1 species